AAAAACCUGAACAGACUUUUGG
rnacentral:miRNA from 1 species